UACGUAGGUGACGAGCGUUGUCCGGAUUUACUGGGCGUAAAGAGCGCGCAGGCGGUCGUUCAAGUCGCGUGUGAAAGCCCCCGGCUCAACUGGGGAGGGUCACGCGAUACUGAUCGACUGGAAGGCAGGAGAGGGUAGUGGAAUUCCCGGUGUAGUGGUGAAAUGCGUAGAUAUCUGGAGGAACACCGGUGGCGAAGGCGGCAUCCUGGACCAACACUGACGCUGAGUGAGCGAAAGCCAGGGGAGCAAACGGG
rnacentral:rRNA from 1 species